UACGGAGGGUGCAAGCGUUACUCGGAAUCACUGGGCGUAAAGAGCACGUAGGCGGCCUUGCAAGUCAGAUGUGAAAUCCAACGGCUUAACCGUUGAACUGCAUUUGAAACUGCAAGGCUAGAGUAUGGGAGAGGUAGGUGGAAUUCUCGGUGUAGGGGUAAAAUCCGUAGAGAUCGAGAGGAAUACUCAUUGCGAAGGCGACCUGCUGGAACAUUACUGACGCUGAGGUGCGAAAGCGUGGGGAGCAAACAGGAUUAGAUACC
rnacentral:rRNA from 1 species